rnacentral:rRNA from 1 species
AACGAACGCUGGCGGCAGGCCUAACACAUGCAAGUCGAACGAGAAGCCACCUUCGGGUGGUGGACAGUGGCAGACGGGUGAGUAACGCGUGGGAACGUGCCUUUCGGUUCGGGAUAACCC